UCUUUCAAGUGCUGAAUGCAGGUCCAUUUCAGCUUUGCCUAUUUUAUGAGACUUAUCAUCAGCUUGAUCCAGCAACAGCUUAGCUUCACUACAUAGAUCUUGAAGUUUCCCAUACAUUUCUUCAUCUACACUGGGUUCGUCUUCCUGUAAGGAUGAUCACCUCCGAAAAGAUAAUCCCAAUCUGUCAUUUCUGUUGCAACCAAUGAGCUUGAAGUGUAUCCUUUGGAGCUUGAUACUUCAUAUUCCAACUCAGCGGGUGCCAUUGAUCCCAUUUGGCUUGAUAUGCUGUAUGCUGGUGCCAUUGGUGCAUUUUUUGCAGGUGAUGGAAGUAUUGCAGGAAGGCUUUCAGUUGCUUCCCUGUAAGUUUUGAUAAGCAAGGUCAGUAAAUUUUCAGCCAUUUGGAGCACUAGUGCACUGGAAUUAGUGCUCCCUAUAUUUUGAACUGGAGCAACCAGAGUUAUAUUUCUUGUUAAGGACACAGUCUCCCAGUUGAACUUGAAUGUACUAUUUGUAGAUAUAAAAGCCUGAAAGUACCAAAAUUGCUGGUGUCAAUUGUACUUCGUCCUUUACCUGGUACAUAUCAAAUGCCCUUUACAAGUAAACCAUAUCUUGCAUGAUGGAACUGCUGUCUCCAUAAGCUUGAGUGCUGUCUUUGACUUUGGUGUGUUCAUUUCUCUACAAUUACAGACCAUCUGUUAGAAUGUGCGAUCAUGAGGUAUACUCUUAAGAAACUUCUUGCUCUAAGCAUGCUAGCUUCUACGGAGUAACACAUUUCUUGGAAGGAGAGCAACAAAAAAGAAAUCUUUGAGUAUUUCAGGUACUUCAGUUCAAUAGUAUGCUGUUACUCUCAUUAAUCAUUCAGAAUCACAGAAGGGAGAUGCAUAUUCAUCUUAUGUAUGCUCCCAAUUUUAGAAAACAGGUUGAUGAGAAACACUAGAUUAAUUUGCUUUGAUCCAUACUUUGAGAAGUGUUGGUCUGCAGCUGCUCCCAUUACAAGCUCGGUGAUGUUAUGAAGGAUGAUGAGUUCCUCAAGUCCUUGAGCAACAUUAUCCAUCUCAAUUAUUACUUUCUCACAACCAACCUGGAACAGUAGAAUAUCAUGUUCAUCUUAUCAAGCUCAUUUAGUGUUGAGACUGCAGUAGUGAAAAUUGCAGGUUUUCCGUUAAUUCAUGAGGGGGUGGUACAACCCAGCUAGCUAGCGGCUACAACAAAGCGAUGCAGGACAGGGCACCUCUAUGUCUUCCCCUGUGCGUUUUGCUAUUUGAACAUAUGCAUUCAGGUUCUUCUCUGCCUUUGCUCGCUUGAGCUUCCUGUACUCCUUGAUUUCUUCUGGUUUCAUGCUGGUAUGAUCCCUCACUGAAAUAUAACAGAAAGCACAAGCUGUUUAACUUAAACAAGUGUAAGAUGCAAGCAUUCCCAUUCUACGCAAAAGAUGCAAAAAAUACUUCUCACGCUUAGAAGUGUGAAGGGGGCAAAGGGGGGAUUUUCUGUUUUACCCCAAACACUGUUGUUCUGAUAUUCACACACUAAUUUUUUUAUAAAAAAAAAAAGAAAAUCUAGAAACACUUACAUUGAUUGAGAGGAAAAGGAAAUUUUGUAUGGAGUGUAAAUCAGUUUAGCAUUUGCGGGUAUGAAAAUUGUGAUAGAUGCGACAAUUUCCGUACGUAUAACAAAUGCAAUUGCUUUCAGAAUUCAAA